GUCCCUUUCGGGGGAUGAGUAAAGUGGCGAACGGGUGAGUAACACGUGGAUAACCUGCCCCUAAGUCGGGUGAAUAAUUCUCCGGAAAGGAGAUUCUAAUACCGGAUAAGACCACAGGAGGGCAUCCUCCGGGGGUCAAAGGCGGGGCAACCUGCCGCUUAGGGAUGGAUCCGCGGCCCAUUAGCUCGUUGGUGAGGUAACGGCUCCACCAAGGCUACGAUGGGUAGCCGGCCUGAGAGGGUGAUCGGCCACACUGGGACUGAGAUACGGCCCAGACUCCUACGGGAGGCAGCAGUAGGGAAUAUUGCGCAAUGGACGAAAGUCUGACGCAGCCACGCCGCGUGGGUGAUGAAGCUUUUUGGAGUGUUAAAUCCUGUCAGUGGGGAAGAACCGUUCGGGGAGUCACUGCUCCGUGCCUGACGGUACCCGCAGAGGGAAGUUCCGGCUAACUCCGUGCCAAGCAGCCGCGGUUAAUACGGGGGGGACAAGCGUUGUUCGGAUUCACUGGGCGUAAAGGGCGUGUAGGCGGGUUUUCAAGUCGGGUGUGAAACCUGGCGGCUUAACCGGCGGCCUGCAUCUGAUACUGUUGGUCUUGAGUACGGUAGAGGAGAGUGGAAUUCCAGGUGUAGCGGUGACAUGCGUAGAUAUCUGGAAGAACACCGGUGGCGAAGGCGGCUUUCUGGUCCGAUACUGACGCUGAGGCGCGAAGGCUAGGGGAGCAAACAGGAUUAGAUACCCUGGUAGUCCUGGCGGUAAACGAUGGGUACUAGGUGUUGGAGGUAUCGACCCCUUCAGUGCCGCAGCAAACGCAUUAAGUACCCCGCCUGGGGAGUACGA
rnacentral:rRNA from 1 species